UCUCUUAAAGUCACACGGAUUUGUAAUGUGUUUUUUUUCAGAUGAUAUUCGUGGACAGUACUCGGGUCUGUUGAUGCUGUUUGAAUACGGAGGCUUCCCUCCUACAAAUAGGGAGGCUUCCCUCCUACAGCUAAACUUUUUAUUCUUAGGAGAUCAUGUGGAACGAAGGUAGCGGAGUGUGGAGACGAUCCGUCUUCUACUUUCCUACAAAAUCAAUUACCCGAGAACCUUUUCCUUCUAUGAGGAAACCACGAAUGAGCUUCCAUCAGGCAUCAACAGAAUCUAUGGAUUCUAUGAUGGAUUCAACCGCUGAUUCAGUGUGAGACUCCCGUAGCUGCUGCAAUAGUGAUAUGAUAUUAUGCAUGCCUAGUGGCCUUUCUCCUGAUUUGACAACCGCAGAUUACGACCAUUAAGCGACCAACUGAUGUUCCAGAGUCUGGUCAGCUCUGCGAUCUGCUUUGGUCUGAUCAAGCAAAGAUGUCAAUGUCUGGUGGAUGAACCACCGUGGAAUCUCUUACACGUUUGGAUCCGAAAAGGUCACUGAAUUUCUAAUAAAGAACGAUAUGGAUCUCAUCUGAAAUGCUCAACAUGUUGUAGAGGAUGGUUAUGAUUUUUUCCUGAUCGACAGCUUGCUAUUAUAUUCUCUGCUCCUAACUACUGUGGUGACUUCGACAAUACUGGUGCAAUGAUAAGUGUUGAUGAAAUUUUAAUGUACUCUUUCCAAACUCUUAAGCAUGUGGAAAGAAGGCCCUGGUUCUUAUGCUGAAUAGAGUUUGAACCUCUCGGGGAAAGAAGAUGAAAUUGGCAACAUGAAGCCGGGGAAGAGACAUUUGACUCUACUUGAGAUUUUGUCCUGAGGCCUUCCAAAGAGGCUUAAAAUGCAUGUUAUAUGUCAUAUCAUAUCUUCAUGACACUCGCCAUUUCUUUUCUCAAAACUUUAUGUUUUCAUGACCUUCUCUGACUCGUAUUGGACAGCAAAAAGUCUACAAAGUUUUAUUCUUCCAUCAACCGAAUUACACAUGUACAUACAACUUAUAUUACUGUAUCACACACACUUAGGAAUCUUCGGUCAUGACAUAAAGUAUGAUAAACCCCAAAGGAAUGAUUAAGCAGAACUAGCUGUGAAUGAAUGUAAGUUAAUCCUUGACUGACUGAACUUAAACCCCUAAUAGGCUAAUAUGCAUUUAAAGAGGUCAGUGGUUACAUAUGAAACUGUUGAACUCUGAAAGUGAGAGGAAACAUAAAGCUUCUCUGUUACUUCCUAAAUUUAAGGUUAAUCAGCCGGGAGCUUAUAAUAUGCAAAGUAUAGUAUAUUUUUUUUUUUUUGAAACUUCGUGUAGUAUAUUCUUGAAUCCUCUCCUCAAUAUAAAGACCACUAUUAUUCCUUGCUUUUCACAAGAACCACUACCAAAAAUGUAGUAUUUUGCAGCUACUUUAGCUCUGGUGUUGAUAGUAACACAAGCAGUUACUUUAGCUCUUGUGUUGAUAGUUAUACAAGGAAGCAAUGCCCUUUUCCCUUUGGCCUCUCCUCCAAAUUGUUUUGUAAAUAGUUUGGCCGCCAUCGGCCUUCUAGAUAGCCACCAUCUCAGAAAUAUACGUAU